GACGAACGCUGGCGGCGUGCCUAAUACAUGCAAGUUGAGCGAUGAAGCUUGGUGCUUGCACCAAUUUGAAGAGCAGCGAACGGGUGAGUAACGCGUGGGGAAUCUGCCUUUGAGCGGGGGACAACAUUUGGAAACGAAUGCUAAUACCGCAUAACAACUUUAAACAUAAGUUUUAAGUUUGAAAGAUGCAAUUGCAUCACUCAAAGAUGAUCCCGCGUUGUAUUAGCUAGUUGGUGAGGUAAAGGCUCACCAAGGCGAUGAUACAUAGCCGACCUGAGAGGGUGGUCGGCCAAAUUGGGACUGAGACACGGCCCAAACGCCUACGGGAGGCAGCAGUAGGGAAUCUUCGGCAAGUGACGAAAGGCUGACCGAGCAACGCCGCGUGAGUGAAGAAGGUUUUCGGAUCGUAAAACUCUGUUGGUAGAGAAGAACGUUGGUGAGAGUGGAAAGCUCAUCAAGUGACGGUAACUACCCAGAAAGGGACGGCUAACUACGUG
rnacentral:rRNA from 1 species